rnacentral:tRNA from 1 species
GGGGGUAUAGCUUAGCGGUAGAGCAUAUGUUCAGGUGUGCAAAGUCCUGGGUUCAAUCCAGUGCCUCUG